rnacentral:rRNA from 1 species
CCUACGGGUGGCAGCAGUGGGGAAUAUUGCACAAUGGAGGGAACCCUGAUGCAGCGACGCCGCGUGAGUGAAGAAGGAUCUAGGUAUGUAAAGCUCUAUUAGCAGGGAAGAAAAUGACGGUACCUGAAUCAGAAUCCCCGUCUAACUACGUGCCAGCAGCCGCGGUAAUACGGAGGGGGCAAGCGUUAUCCGGAUUUACUGGGUGUAAUGGGAGCGUAGACGGCAGCACAAGUCUGGAGUGAAAUGCCGGGGCUUAACUCCGGAACUGCCUUGGAAACUGUGCAGCUAGAGUGUAGUAGAGGUAAGCGGAAUGCAUAGUGUAGCGGUGAAAUGCGUAGAGAUUAUGAAGAACACCAGUGGCGAAGGCGGCUUACCGGACUAUUACUGACGUUGAGGCUCGAAAGCGUGGGGAGCAAACAGGAUUAGAUACCCCUGUAGUC